rnacentral:lncRNA from 1 species
UAUGUUUUUUUUUUUUUAAUUACUGUUUUAUUUGGAAAAAGUGCUUCUUGCAAAAGGGAAGCUGCAAAACAGAGACCUCUGCAACAAUUACUUGUUUUUUCUUAAAGUGAAAGAAUGGGUGGGAUCCAAGGAAUCAAAGCAGUAGAUGGACGACCAGGAGCACCCCAAGUUAUCUUCAGGAAACAGAGCGACAAAACGCAAAGACUGAAAUCUCUUCGAAGCCAGACACAGCAUCUUGUACUGUGGUACGGUGGUACCUCUAGGUUCCUGGCACGCAGCCUGACACAUACGAAGGGCCCCUUAGAAUUUGGUUGCAUAGCUGAUGAAAGCAGCCAGCGUCUGUCAGCAUGUCUGGUGUGCCAGGGCCCGCAGGACAUGCAGUGUGUUCCUUAGCUUAUUUAAACUUUACCACCGCGUUACAAGGGAAGUAGUAUCCUUAUUCCCAUUUUACAGAUAAGGAGGCUGAGGUCCAGAGAGGCUAAGAAACCAGGUCAGACAGAAAGCUGUGGGGUGUGGAGAGCGGCCAAAGGGGCCUGGGGGAGGGGCUCUGUUGGGGCAUGGUGGAGAUGGAGGUAGUGAGAAGAGGGCCCAGGAGAGGGUGCAGAGGGUCAAUUCUGGGAAGGGAGAGGGGGCUUCCUGCGCUGGGCUGGUGAGGCCAUACAAGCAGUGGAAGCAGUCCCUGAUGGGGUACCCGGAGGACUCCCCACUCCUGUGCCCAGACACCUCAAAGUCUCUCCCAAGAGUCAAGCUGCAUCCCCCUCCAGCUUCCCCUCCUCCUAAAGUCCAGUUCCUGGGACAGGACAAUGUCGUGAGGCAGGCGUCUCAGGGGCCAGCUGCCUCCUAAGGUGGAGGUCAGGGAAGGAAGAGGCCUGCAAGGGCCCUGACCCCCAGAGGGUCACUGGCCUCAGCCCACCCUGACAAAGACGCAGACUGACUCAGCUUCCUCCCAGCAUCUCCGCAGGCACGUUCGCCAGGUCAUUCACCCCCAGCCCACUGAGAGGCCUUGGGUUUAAUUACCCAAAGCCCUGAACUUUAGACUUCCCAGAGCUGACAACAGGGCGCUGGGGAUGUUCUUAGAAACUUCAGGACACAGUGGGGAAUGGCAGGAAAGGUGAAAGGGCAGGAGGGAGCCGGGGGGGGCUGCGGUUGGGCUGAGACGGGUGCUUCCCCACUGGGCAGCAGAGACUGGGAGACCCCAGGAGAGACCGGCAGGGUGUCAGUGAGGGAAGGGGGCUUCUGCCCCACCCAAGGUCUCUACGGGGUUGUCUUCUGUACAGUGUGGCCCGGGAUCCAGCCAGCGGGAGGCCCUGCCUGGAGGCCGGCCCAUCCCCAGCUAAGGCUUGGUCAGAGAGGAUGAGCUGUGGCCGCCAGGGUCUCCUCUUGGCAGUUGGGGCCUGCCAGCUCUCAGAAACUGAUUUUAGAACCAAAAAGAAUAAGUCCUUCUGAAUUUCAUUUCUUUGGCCUAUUUUUUCCCACAAAAUUAUAUGAUAGCAUCAUCUGACACUUAUUGAGACAGAGGAGGGAUGGGACUCGGCUGCCAACUCCACUAAUGCAUUCGCUAAUGCAUUCCCCCCCCCAACAUUUUUCUUUCUUCCUUUUUUUUUCUUACCUGCUCAUUGAAGGACAGUGAAAGCAUUAAGAUAAGCAGCAUUCCACUGUAAAUCUUACACAAAAUGCCACAUCCACUGAUCACACGACCUUGAAAAAUGAAGAUAGGCAGCGUCGCACUUCCAAUCUUGUACUUCAGGGAAUGAACUCCAUUGCCUUUGUGUGCAGGAAGCCGGAAGCACGACCACUCUUUACCCUCGGCCUCAUUACAAGACCAAGACCUCUGCCUCGGCGCGGCAGCUCUCACCUGGAAUCCCAGCACUUUGGGAGGCCGAAGCGGACGGAUCACCUGAGGUGUCAGGAGUUUGAGACCAGCCUGGCCAACAAGGGACGCUCACCUACCUCAUGAAUUACGCGUGUCGCCCUCCUCGAGACGCCACAACGCAGUCCCCUGGGGAGCCAGCCGGAGACCUCUCCCUGCGGUGCUGUCUCCCCCGUGGUGGAACGGAAGCCCCUAAUAAAGCCUUGUCUGGGAAAUUUGCUUGGCCUCGUGUCAAUUUUUAUCGGAGCCUAAAGAACCUGUGUCCCCCUCCUCCCACACCCUGGCAACUGUGAAUCUGCUUUUGAUCUCUAUGGAUUUGGCUACUCUGGAUAUUUCAUGCUGGAGUGCAAUGGUGAGAUCUCGGCUCACUGCAAC